rnacentral:rRNA from 1 species
CUACGGGUCGCUGCAGUGAGGAAUAUUGCACAAUGGGGGGAACCCUGAUGCAGCAACGCCGCGUGGAGGAUGACGCAUUUCGGUGUGUAAACUCCUUUUAUAUGUCAAGAAAAUGACGGUAGCAUAUGAAUAAGCACCGGCUAACUCCGUGCCAGCAGCCGCGGUAAUAGGGAGGGUGCAAGCGUUACUCGGAAUCACUGGGCGUAAAGGACGCGUAGGCGGGUUGGAAAGUCAGGUGUGAAAUCCUACAGCUUAACUGUAGAACUGCACUUGAAACUUCUAAUCUAGAGUAUGGGAGGGGGAGAUGGAAUUAGUGGCGUAGGGGUAAAAUCCGUAGAUAUCACUAGGAAUACCUAAAGCGAAGGCGAUCUCCUGGAACAUUACUGACGCUAAGGCGUGAAAGCGUGGGGAGCAAACAGGAUUAGAUACCCGCGUAGUC